CUGCUCCGCUACCCCGAGGCCCGCAUCCCGGGCGCCCGCUCCUCGCUCUCUCGCCGGCAGCUCCCGAGCUCCGCGCACAGCGAACCUUCUGCUGCCAGCAGAUAACAUCACGAUCUCGCCGGAAGGAGAGAUUUAUAAGUUCUCUCCGAACCACGUGUUUGCCUUCAACAAAGUGACGUGCUAGGGUUACAGCUGGAGUCUGCUCCUCCGCGCCGAGGAGGCAGCGCCUAGGGCUUUGCGGUCUGAUCGCUAGCUCGCGAGGCUUCUGCACAACUUUGAAGAUGACGUCUACAUCAGCAUCAGCAGGGGCCUCUCCUGCAGGCCGGCCUCCUUGGAGUCAGACAAGCAGCCACCAACCCCAGUAACCAGCACAACCCAGCACCAAGAGAAGCCAUUGUUUCACGGCACCCCUUUGAGUUCGGUCAAGAACUGCAGUGAC
rnacentral:lncRNA from 1 species